rnacentral:tRNA from 1 species
UGGCUCAGUUGGUAGAGCAUGUGACUCUUGAUCUCAGGGUCGUGGGUUCGAGCCCCAC